rnacentral:rRNA from 1 species
UACGGAGGGGGCUAGCGUUGUUCGGAAUUACUGGGCGUAAAGCGCACGUAGGCGGCUUUGUAAGUCAGAUGUGAAAGCCCCGGGCUCAACCUGGGAACUGCAUUUGAAACUGGCGGGCUUGAGUGUGGCAGAGGGGGGUGGAAUUCCGCGUGUAGCAGUGAAAUGCGUAGAGAUGCGGAGGAACACCGAUGGCGAAGGCAGCCCCCUGGGCCAACACUGACGCUCAGGCACGAAAGCGUGGGGAGCAAACAGG